GACCCAAUGGCUCAAUGGUUAGUGUGCUUGCUUUAGUUGUCACGGAGUGAGGGCUGUACGCAAGAGGUACCUCGUUCGAUUCGGGGUUGGGUCA